AAAAAGUUAAACCCUGGGUUUCCGUGUCCAAUUUUGACUAUCCGUCUUAUAUAAAAUUUUUUUAUAAUUCGUAUUUUCAUUGUUGUUAGAUGAUAAAACAUGAUUAAUAUUUUAUGCGUGACUUGUCUUUUUAUUUUUUUUCCAUAAUUUUCUCAAAUAAGAUGGACGGUCAAACGGGCACGGAAACCAGGGUUUGUCUUUUU
rfam:Oryza barthii chromosome 7, whole genome shotgun sequence.